AAGGAUGUUUGGCAACCUGCAGGAAGGAAUGUGCCAGAGACAAAUGGAAGAGGAGAACCAAGUUAGAAGUGGAAAGGCAUGUGAAAGGAGUAACAACAGCAGCUUUCCAUGACUUACUGAAAAUGAGAAGCAGAGACCACAGCAGCUAAGGCUAGAGUACUUGCAGCCACAGUAAGCCAUGAAGUUACCUGGAGGAUGGUGGAGCAGGAAGAAGGAGCCUGGUAUCCUGAUGACACUGUGGAGCCCCUAUAAUGACUCUAAAUUAGUUACUUUUAGACUUAUUUUGUGUGAGCAAGACAGUUCUAUCUUGAUUUAACUGUUGUUAUUUUAGGGCUACAUUCACCCAAAUAUAACACUAAAUAAUAAAAAAGG